rnacentral:hammerhead_ribozyme from 1 species
CUGCACCUGAUGAGUCCCGAAUAGGACGAAAUGCUCAUCUUGGAU